rnacentral:lncRNA from 1 species
CAGCUGUAUGUUACAUACGGUGCUACGUAGGUAUAUGUGAAAAACAGUCUGUUGCCUUCCAGGCUCCUGUGUUGGAAGUACUAAUCUCUACCGUCCAUUUAUUUGAGAUAUUCUUACUUUCUUGUUUGUUUGUUUGUUACUUUGUUUUAUAUUUUAUUUCAUUAACUUUCAAGAGAACUUGAUGAUUGACAUCUUAAAAGAUAGAAAUAAUUUGUACAAUUACCGAGCGAACAUUGAUGGGUAAGAUGGGAUUCAUUCAUUCGGAAACGGGCUUUUGCAAACCACCACCAAACAGUCUGAACGCAGCCCUCAAUCUGAUACUGCAGGAUAUUUUAUAUUUUACCCAAAAACUGACGAAAGAGCUUGAGUUUGUAAACGAUGGAGUAGCCAAAUGGAAAAAAAGAUAAUGACAUUACUUCAAAAGACCAUUUAAGAGGAAUGAAAAUCGAAGAUGUGGAGCAUCUACUUACGCUCGGCCAAAAAAUUAACUUCCGUGGUAAAUUGGAGGCAUUUCAUCAACUGAAUAAUAAAUUCGAUAAAUUGAGUAAACAAACUAAUUAAAAUUAGGAUUCAGAUAAAGGUUAAAUAAAAUUUAUAAAUUCUAGAAACCUUUUCGAUAAUAAUUACGAUUUUAGAUUUCCUUUCCUUUUCCUUUAUUUUCCUUUUCGAUUUUAGUAGUAAUUGAAGUAUUACAGGUUUGUAGAUUGAAUUAAUUCCGAUCCGUUUUAUACAUUUUUCAAUUUUGAACACAAAAUGAGUCCGGUGUGAAGUUUUGAAAAACCGAAAAAAGUUUUGAAAUACUCUGGAAUGUAACACACCCUAUUCUAGUCCCCUCGACUGAAUCAAGCUGCUUUGCCAUUUGAUGUUUAGGCUGCUUUGCUACUCAGACAUCGGUUAAUUAUGCAACAUCUCACAUUAAUAUAACGAUGGAACUAAAGAGACAUAUGUAUGUUGUGUUCGUUUAGAUAUCUCUCUUCGUGAAUUGAGCUAAUGCGGGUCAGCCUGCCAACUCACCCCAUGAAUCGUUCUGUUUCUGGAGAGUUAGGGCCCCAGGGUUAAAAUCCUGCACCUGAAAAAUUUCGAAAAGUAGGUACCCCUUCAAAAAAAGAAGAAUAAAGCAUAAGAUCGAAUUCGAAUUCAAAUUCGUCCAGGACAUUUUCAUGACACGGUGAGAGCGUUGAUGUUCCUUCCGUUCCCCAACAAGUGACAGGACGCAACGGAUGGCGU